GCGUGUAAAAUCUUCAGCAAUCUUUAAAAUGGUUUUUUACAGUCAAGUACAAAAUGUGCAAUUUUUCCUGAGUAAAAAUACAGUAACUCCAUCUCAAUAAUCUCUGCUGUAAAUCCUUUGCAUGCAUCUACAAAAGUUUAAAAGAAGAAAAACUACCACAACAAGAGGACAUAGUCUUAAAUUAGAGGGGCAAAGGUUUAAAAAUAAUAUCAGGAAGUAUUACUUUACUGAGAGAGUAGUGGAUGCAUGGAAUAGACUUACUGCUAAAGUGGUAGAGGUUAACACAACUAGGGAGUUUAAGCAUGCGUGGGAUAGUCAGAAGGAUAUACUAUAUAAGAUAAGGCUAUGGACCAAAUGAAAGUAUUUAGAAAAUUGGGCAGACUAGAUGGGCUGAAUGGUUCUUAUCUGCCGUCACAUUCUAUGUUUCUACGUCUAAGCUACCUGGCAGGGCCUUCACCUGCCGGCUUGGUUCUUAUGGUAGAUCACUUGUCUCUGUUAGAACUAUGCUUUCCAAGCCUUCACAUAAUUUGUACAAUUUUUCUUGUGGUUCACAUAUCUUGUCACCAGGGAUACUUUUCUUCGUUCAUUCUUUGCGUUUUCCAAUUUCUAUGUCAUUUGUAACCUAAGUUUUUAUUGUGUUCUGACAAUGUUAG